AGUAAUUUAAGCAGGUAUAUGCACAUUCACACUGGAGAGAAACCUCAUGUGUGAAGUAUGUAAGAAAUCAGUUAAUCUAAAAUGUUCUUUAAAUGUGCAUAUUGCCAUUCACACAGGAAAGAAACCUCGUGUGUGAAGUAUGUAAGAAAUCAUUUGAUGUAAAAAGAAAUUUAAACUCGCAUAUGUGCAUUCACACAGGAGAGAAACCACAUGUGUGAAGUUUGCAAGAAAUCAUUUAAUUGAAAAACUGAUUUAAACGUGCAUAUGCGCAAUCACACAGGAGAGAAACCUCAUGUUUGUGAAGUAUGUAAGAAGAUGUUUACUCAAAUGGAUAGUUUAAACAAGCUUAUUCACAUUAGAGAGAAAAUUUGUGUGUGAAGGACAUAAAUGUUCUGUCUUUUUCAUAAAGGCGAUUUAAAUAUGGAUAUCAACGUAAGAGACCAACAUUACGAGCUAAGUAUAUAACAAGUUGUUUAAAGCAAUAGAGAAUUCAUGUCUUACCUACACAGGAAGAGAAACCUCCUGUCUUUUAAGCACAAACUAGAAAAAACAUUUAGUGAACUUUGCGAUAGGCAUUUGUCUGUACAGUUAGGAAACCUCAUUAAGUGAAAUCAAGUCUCUAGUUUUCUCAUUGAAUUAAAGAAUUUAGGUACAGCAAAUGUCUUAGAAUUUAGAAAUGCAAAUCGAAUGGCAUGAAUAUGACAGAUGAACCUGUGGGAGAUGCAUAAAUUCUUAUUUAAUAAAAGUGAAUUAAAACCGUUAAUUUUUUUCCACAAGAUGAAAUAUUUUUCAGGAUAUUUUUACCUGAUAAUGGUGUUCAAUUUUUAUGUCUGCUGCAUAACAACAUGUGUUAUCUAGAUAGAACUUCAAAAACUGAAACUGUGAAAGAUGUCUAAUGUUUUUUCCCUGAUAUAUAUAUAUAUACUGUAAAUUAUUUGUAUGUUUCUGAAUUUAAUGCAGUUACGAAUUGCAGCUCUGCCAGUGUUGACAGAAAUGUCUUUCUUGUUUCUGUCAUGAAGAAUGUAUUAGUAUUUCCCACUCGUGGUGAACCAGUGUUGACCAUCCUAUGCGAUUCUAGUAUCAAAUGUGCGAGUAUAUAACUGAAACCAGUGCAGGAUUCGACAGCAUUGUUAGAAAGGUGAUAUGAAACAUCAAAUAUUUUCAGUCAAACCCUGAACCUACCAAGUAGAGCAAUCCCAUGUGUCUAAUGCAUAAAAAAAAAAAAAAAAAAAAAAAUUGGGAAACAUCAUUUCUGUUUGGUUUGCAAGAAAUGGCAUCACGAUGAUUAGUAUAAUGAAGUGUUGUGGAAAUCAGCUGAAGUUUCUCAAGAACAGAUGCCUAAGUAACAUAAAAUAUUGAACUCAUGUAACUCGAUACAUUUGAUGAUUAAAUCUGAAAACUCCUAUUUCAAAGGCAACAUUUUAAAAUAAAAUCCUUAGCUAAGUCACUCCUUCAUGCACAUAAUUUACUGCAUAUAACAUUUUAAUGUGAUUUCGUAUGAGAUUAAAUAGGCAUAUGUAUUGCUAAAUGACCCUUGAAUUCAAAUGAACUGCUAUAUUUAGUACCUGUUUGUGAUUCUCACUGGUGUGAAUAAAAAUAUGUUUGUUUUAAACACUCAUUUAACUAUGAAUAACUAGUUACAGGUCUCACAUUCGUGCCAUUUCUCAUUGUAAUGGGUAAGAAUUUUAUUUUUAAUGCAGAUGAUUUACAAAUAUUGCAUUCAUAUAGAUUGUUUCCAGUGUAUGUAGACAUGUUUAUUUAAAUGAUGCAGGCAUGCAACUGAUCCAUCACAUAUAACUUGUUCAUGUGGUGUCUGUUUAGUAUGAUUAAGAUGUGUGUUUUUAUGUGAUUUUUGAGUAUAACAGAUAGCAGGUCCCAGCAUGCCACCAGGUACGCUCUACGAGGUUCGACAUGCAUUACUACAGGAAUGGGCGCUACUGCCACAACAAGCGAUCAACGAUACUAUUGCCAGCUUGUCUCUCUGUUGUUAAGCAUGCAUUUCAGCUAGAGGAUAUCAUACUCAUAAUUAGCACGAUAUUUAUAUUACACAUUCUUUCAAGCCAUUUGAUCUUUCACGAUGCGAUGGUCGUAAUACAUUUGCUUUUCAAUGUCUUUGCUUUAUUGUUUUCUAUGUUGUGCCACAUGAACGAGGUUCGACAUGUUUUCUAUGUAGUGCCACAUGAACCUCUUGGAUCAGUUUCAUUUAUAUAUCCAAUUAAAUAAUAUUUGUUUUAGUCUGUGUUUUAUGCUGAUUUUUUGAGCAGGAGUAUUAUAUUAAUAUGCCUUCAGUUGUGCUUUUUAAUGUGCUGUGUGUGUAUCAGUUUCCUUUUCUCUUUACAAAUAGUAUACAUUGCAUAAUUUUCCUUUCUGAAUUUUCGAGUGGUAAAAUUGGUAAGAGAAGAGGGGAAAUAUGUUAGUAUACAGGUUAUUUCAGGUUGAAUUAUAAAUGUAUAUAAAUUGUGAGCAGUGCCAAAUUUGUUGCCAAAUGUACGGCACCAAAAAUGCUGGAGCUAGUUCUAAAAAACAAUACCUGUAACUUGCACUUUUAAUUACUACCUGAUUUCCUGUUUCUAGUAUUUCAGGACUCCACAUAAGUGUGUUGCACUGAUCCAUAUGAUAAUCAUAUUUACUUAUGCAAUUCCUGAUUAAUUAUGUCUUAAAAAUUAUUUGUAAUGGCUGUUUUGGACUUUCAUUGUUAUAUAUAUUUUUUCUUUCUAGGAUUUUUAUAUGUCCUCAUUGCAGUUUAAUUGUCUAACUUGCCUUACUUUUUAAUCAUUUGCUUUGCAUACAUUCAUGGGUCUAAUUUUGUAAAAAUGGUAUAUAUGUUAAGUGUUUAUUUUUACAAGUCUAAAAUAUGUAACAUGUACAGUUGAACUAUUUGUGUUAUUUCUCAUAUAUAAUGGUCACAAAAGCAUAAAACGCAUGAACAUUUUCAUUUGAAUUAAAUUUUAAUAUUUGUAGAACAAAAAAUAAAGAUUUUUACCAUUAUAUUUAGCACAUUUUUCUAUUGAUCAUCUAAAAGGUUUACAAAAGAUGAAAAAAAGAGACCGUGAAUGCUUUUGAACUAAAACUGUGCAUAAUUUAAGGUUACAUGAACUACAGAAUGAGGUUUUUGGAUCUAAGUUAUGAUUUAUUAUCCCUUUCGCAGCUAAAUUUCAUGAGAACCAUUUCAUACAAACAAAUUUUGAUGUUUUGUUGGAGAAAACUUUAUUAUCAAACAGGAAGUAAACAAUGGUUUCACCAUAUUGGGCUAAGGUAUGAGGAAGCUCUCUGGCAGCCUGUUUUUGGAUUAGUUCUUCUUAGAAUGUCUGCUAAUUUGGCAAAAUAUGAGAAUCAUCAAAUGUCAUUUAUUCGAAAAUGUCAUUGCAUUGUUCAGUGUGAUGGGUUAAAACAACGUCUCUUUGAAGAAUGUGAUUGACUUAUCUGAACCUGACUGAUCUUAUCUCUAAUAAAUAAUUAUUAUGUAUUA